ensembl:lncRNA
GUUUUGGAUUACGUUUUGGAUUACGUUUUGGAUUACGUUUUGGAUUACGUUUUGGAUUUGUCUGCCUGUCUCUCUUUUAAAAUAAACAACUGUUCAUACUGCAUUUGCAUCCGUCCUAUCUCCGCUCCGUCUACGUGACAAGUUUUGAAUGGCUUGACUCUCUUUUCAUUCCUGGUGUUUAGCUGUAUUUCUGGUGAGAACAGGUGGGCUGUGGCUGUCAUGCCCCAAUCUUGUGGUGCCACAGGAAAACCUGUGAAGGAGGGGGCAGCCGAGGUGUGAAAGGGGACAGCCAUCUUGGUGGUGUGAAUGAGGACAUUUGAGGAGGUGGAGGGAAGUUCAGCCUGCGUUGGUCCGAGACGGUGGAAUGAACAAUGUCACAAGCACACGCCACUACUGCUGAGAGUGGAAUGUAAACAAUAACAACAAUGGCGACUCAAAACUCUCGGGGCAGAUAGUAUGGCCUCAACCCGAUGGCCAGCAGCUCAACAUCAG